GACGAACGCUGGCGGCGUGCUUAACACAUGCAAGUCGUACGGGAAGGUUCGUUCGGGGGUACACGAGUGGCGAACGGGUGUGUAACACGUGCGUAACCUGCCCACAACCUUGGGAUAACGCUAGCAAACUGGUGCGAAUACUGGAUAUGUCCUUCUGCUGCCUUGAGGUGGUUGGAAAGCUCUGGCGGUUGUGGUUGGACUCGCGUACUAACAGCCUGUUGGUGGGGUAGUGGCCUACCAAGGCGGCGACGGGUAGCCGGUCUGUGGUGGUGACCGGCCACAUUGGGCCCGAGAGACGGCCCAGACACCUACGGGAGACAGCAGUGGGGAAUAUUGCACAAUGGGCGCAAGCCUGAUGCAGCACCGCCGCGUGCGGGAUGACGGCCUUCGGGUUGUAAACCGCUUUCAGCAGGGACGAAGCUUUUUGUGACGGUACCUGCAGAAGAAGCACCUGCUAACUCCGUG
rnacentral:rRNA from 1 species